AUUCUGUGUACAAUACUUUGACACCAUAGGAAUACCCAAUUCCUUAUGCCCUUUCAACUAAUGGUUUUAGCAUCUAUUAAUGAUCUUUGUCUGAAUCAAUUAUUUCACUAGAGGUUGCAAAUGCUGAUUAAACACACACAUACACACACAGAGUUGGAUUUUUUUUUUUUUUUUUUUUUUGAGCCAGGGUCUUCCUCUGUUGCCCAGGCUGGAGUGCAGUGGUGCCGUCACAGCUCACUGCAACCUACACCUCCUGGACUCAAGCGAUCCUUCUGCCUCAGCCCCCCAGUAGCUGGGACUACAGGUGCGAGCCCGGCUAAUAUUUUUUGGAUGCAGUUUCACCAUGUUAACCAUGCUGGUCUUGAACUACUGAGCUCAAGCAGUCCACCCGCCUCAGCCUCCCAAAGUGCUAGGAUUACAGGUGUGAACCACCACGCCUGGCCUGGAUUUUUCAUUCCAAAUACAUUAUUUGGAGUUAUUAUGAAAUUACAUAGCACUAUUAUGUAAAGCAGAGCUUUCCCUCAUCAGCUGAGGCUAUUUGGUUACUCUAAAUUACCAUUCCUAUUAUCAAUAGAUCAUCUUGAGUGUGAGUCUGUGAACUGUUUAUUUGAUUUUCUAGGAUAGAAAUUAGGAAAUUCCUGUAUGUUAGCCUAACCAUUGAUAAAGAGUAACAAUGAGCUGAGUGCGGUGGCUCACGCCUGUAAUCCCAGCCCUUGGGGAAGCUGAGGUAGAAGAUUCGCUGACUAUGCUGGGCAACAUAGUGAGACCCCGUCUCUGCACAAUAUAAAAAUUAGCCGGGUGUGGUGAUGCACGCCUGUAGUCUCAGCUACUUGAGAGGCUGAGGUAGGAGAGUCACCUGAGCCCAGGAAGCCGAGGUUGUAGUGAGCCGAGAUCAUACUAUUGCACUCCAGCCUGAGUGACAGAAAUAAAUUUUUUAAAAAAUAAAAUUUUAAAUAUUUUUUAAAAAAGAGUAACAAUGAAAACGUCAUCACCAGGUAUUUCUCACUCAUAAAAACACUGAGAAUAUCUAAACUGUCUUCCCAUUUUUUCUUAUUCUCAUUCUGAAUCUAUGUUACAAUAUUUCUUUUUAAACUGAAAACAUACUUCCAGGGAACAUAUCUGAAUCCUAAAUCACAGCAACCAGAUUUCUUUAAGGAGUGUGUCUUUUCCUCUCCUAUUGUUUGUCUAACCCUGAGCUGAGAAUCCAUAGUCCAGGGGUGCCUUACCGACAGUAACAAUGACCUAUUUCUUUUUUGCAUUUGCUUUGUUCUUUUAUCAGUCUCACCCUGUUGACAUUCAUCGCACAUCAGAGACUCAGCCACCUCUUCCCUUGCACAAUCAUUCCCCCUCUCAAGGCACAUUUAUAUUCAAGGCACAGGGUCAAGGAAAAGAAGAAAAAAACACGCUUCACAGCAGAACUUUGCCUAGCACUCCAAUUGAGGAUGUGCUCAUCUUUGCUUCAGAUGGUUUCUUCCUUGUUCAUACUCAGCAAUAAUAUACAGCCAGCAGGCAGCAAGAAUGAUGCUGUUCCCCUUGACUGGUCAGCACCCACACCACACCAGUUGUUCAAUAUUUUGAAUAUCACUCCUGCAUAUAAGCCACAAAAAUAUGUUAUCCUUCAUACCCAAGGAUGUUCCAACAGAAGGCUGUCUGUGUUACUAAGGUUGAAAUAAAAACACUGUAUUAGUCCAUUCUCACACUGCUAUGAAGAAAUACUUGAGACUGGGUAAUUUAUAAAGGAAAGGGGUUUAAUUGACUCACAGUUCCACAUGGCCUCAAGAAACUGACAAUCAUGAUGGAAAGCAAAAGAGAGAGGCAGGCAUCUUCUUUACAGGGUGGCAGGACAGAGUGAGCACUUAUAAAACCAUCAAGGUGCAGUGAGAUCUCAUGAGAACAGCAUGGGGGAAACCACCCCUAUGAUUCAGUUAUCUCCACCUGGUCCCGUCCUUGACAGGUGGGGAUUAUGAGGAUUAUAAUUGAAGAUGAAAUUUUGGGUGGGGACCAGCCAAACCAUAUUACACUUCAUUGUUGAUGAACUUUAAAUUAACUAAGACUGCACUUAAAUUUGGGGAUAAACACAAUCACCUCUGCUUCCUCCUACUAAACACCACUGAAAGAGUUUUUGAAUGGCAUAAACCCACAAAAGCAAAGAGAAUUGGAGAACUGAUUGAAGCAAAGAUUUGAAAGCUGGGAAGCAUAAUAAUGAGUAAAAGAAACUUAGUAGAACUGAGAAGCUGCUUUCUAAAUCAGCAGUAAAGAAAGUCAAGAAAUAAUCUGAGUCACAGAAUCCCCAAGAGACUUGGCAGUAUCUUCUUCUACCUUUAGAGGUGAGGGUGAGGCUGGGUUGAAAAUAGGGGGUUUGAUUGCCAAUUUGCAUAAAAAAAAGUUAGAUCACAGAUUUCCACCCCCUCCAGUAGCAGGGGAACUGCCUCUCCCAUACCUUGGUAGAGGGUAAAAUGGAGGGUCUCCAGGCUGGGAAACACCAGGCUCAGUUGAAAAUAGUGUACUGUACUGAAGCAAUGAGAUACCGACUAUCCCUAGACUAUUAGCAGCCAAACUCUUGCCCUCCAGGCAGGAGAUUGCAAGAAUCGUCACUUGGCAAUCUGACCAGCCAAAGAGAAAGACCCUAAGGACAUUGAUAUUGGGAGUUCCCCAACACAGUAACCCAGUCAAAUCUCAAUACAUGGAGCCCACAGUUGGCAAGCCUUUGCCACAUGCACAGAGCUUCCUGUGGGUUUUGUUAAUGUACCCCUCUCAUAAACAUUAGGCAGCCAAGAAGACCUACAUCUGUGGAACUCCUCUAACUUGAAGACAGAGCCCAACACAAAUUAAUGGUGGAAAAUAAAAAGAAUCUUGGAGAAAACAGAAUUCUUCAGGGAAAUGAAACUUCAAAAAUUAGUAUUCUCAGAGAGAUGUAAGAAAAUAUUGCCAUGAAACAAGAAGAGUGUCUUAGUCCAUUUUGAACUGCUAUUAACAAAAUACCUGAGACUGGGUAAUUUAUCAAGAACAGAAAUUUCAUAAUUGUCAUUUUGGAGGGUGGGAGACCAAGAUCAAGGCACCAGCAGGUUUGGUGUCUGGUGAGAGGCUGGCCUCUGCUUCCAAGAUGGCACAUCCUCAAGAGGGGGAAACAAUGUGUCUUCACAUGAUGGCAAGUGGAAGGCAAACAAGAGAGACCAAACUGCCUCCAUCAUGCCUUUUUAUAAUGGCAUUAAUCUGUUCAUGACAGUGGAGCCCUGGUGACCUAAACACUUCCCAUAGGGCUCUACCAUCCGACACUGUUGCAUUGGGGAUUAAGUUUCUAACACAUGAAUUUUGAGGAACACAUUCAGACUACAGCAAAGAGGAUGCCAUUUAAAAAGAAUAGAGAAAAACAACAAAAUGCAGUAACGAGAAUACAAAAUAUGAUAGAAGAAAUUAAAAACACAAUGGAAAAUUUAGAAGAUAAAGCUGGAGAAAUCUCUCACAGAGUAGGACAAGAAAGACACACAAGGCCAGGCAUGGUGGCCUAUGCCUGUAAUUCAGUGCAUUAGGAGGCCAAGGUAGGAGGAUCACUUGAGCCCAGGAGUUCGAAUCCAGCCUGGGCAACACAGUGAGACCCCAUCUCUACAAAAAAAUUAGCCAGGCAUAUGCCUGUAGUCCCAGCUAGUUGGGACAUGGGAGGAUCGCUUGAACCCAAGAGGUUGAGGCUGCAGGGAGCUGUGGUCAUGCCACUGCACUCCAGCCUGGGUGACAGAGCCAGGCCCUGUCUCAAUUAAAGAAAAAAAAAGACACACAAACAUGCACAUAAAUACACACACACACACACAAAUUCGAAAUGAGAAAGAAAUGGUUUUUUAAAUGAGAACAUUAUUACAGGAGAGCCAACAGACAAUAGGAGAUCAAAAAAAAAAAAAAAAAGGACAGAGAAAACAGAAGGGAGGAUAUCAAAGAAAUCAUUCAAGAAAACUUUCCAGAAUUCUAGGAAAUAAUUUUCUGUAUGUGAAAUAUUAAUAAAAGCAAAUGCUUAACUAGUACUUAACUAAGUGGCAGGCAAUGUCUCAAGCAUUUUACAGACAUUAAUUCAUUUAAUUCUCACAACAACCCUGUGAGGCAGGCAUGAAGAUUUAACUCAGCGAGUCCCUAAACCUAUGCCUCAGUUAACUGCUAGUGGACUCCCAAGUCACAUCGUGGUGAAAUUUCAAAACCUGGAGAACAAAGAAAGGAUCAUAAAAGCUUCCAGAGAGAAAAAACAGGUUAUGUACAAUGGAUCAAUAAGACUUCUCAACAGCAAUGUAAGACAUUAAAAGAAAAUAGAACACUGCCUUCAGAAUUCAGAUGAGAAAUAAUUUCUAGCAUAGAAAUCUAUCUCUUGAUGAAGACAUCAAUUAAGUUGGGGGAUAGAAUAAAGACAUUUUCAACAUGUGAGGCCUAAAAAAAAAUUACCUCCCAUGUACUCUUUAUCAGGAAAGCAUUGGAGGAUUCUCUCCAAAGGAGGAGAGUAAACCACACCAAAGGACUAUAAGGGAUUCAAGAAACAGAGGCUGUGACGCAUAGAGUGAAGGACCCUCCAGGAGGACGAUGGGGAACCCCAGGGUUUCCUCUAUAGACUAGGUGCAGGACAAGCAGGGCAAAACUACCAGCAAGUGUGAGCUGCUGGUGUACAGCAAGUGUGAAAUGCAGCAAAGACUCACAGACCUCAGAGUUUGGUCCACUGGACCCAGGCCCACUGCUGGAUAAAAGGUGCAGCACCCACUGGCCACUUCCACGGUUUACAUCUUGCUUCAAGGCCUUGUGCCCGAUCAGCUGAGCCCCUGUGCCAACCCUCAGUCUAAUUACAGGAGUAAGAACAACCCUACUACCAUGAGGACACAAUGAGCCUAAUCCAGAAAGUGUGGACAUCCUGCAAGACAAUCCCUCUGGCAGGCAAUAAGUCAAUGACAAGUGGAGGAAAAGAAAAAAAAAAGAGGCUGAGGCAGGCGGAUCACUUGAGGUUAGAAGCUGCUAAGACAAAUACGAGAUCUUCUGAGCGUGCCAGCCCAUCCAUCUGCACCAGUAACUCUGUCUUCAUCCGCAGGCUUCCUUCAUGUUCUCCCCUACAGAGAGACAAGACGUGAUUCUCCUAAGUGUCAGAGCCUUCGCCCUCAUGACAAGAGCAGCAUUCACAGCAAUGUCCCUGUGACUGUAGAACAGUUUCUGUUCUGAUGGCCAAUGGAGCCGUUCAUACUAGAGUUAGAGAAAAUGAGCAAUUUGCUGUUAUUUUCACAUACAGUAUGAUAGAAAGCAAGUAAAUGAAUAUAAUGAUGGUAUUUGAAAGAAAACCAAAGGCAGGCAGUGAGCUGGAGAAAAUAACUAAAGGGUCCACAGUCCCACUGGUAGAUUAAAUGCAGCCCAACUGUGUCUACCUGCAGCAUUAUUUACCUCUUUAAAAAUGACAUAAUUGAGGAUAAUCCCUUUCACUUACAUAGCACACAGGAAAGUACUUUCACACCCUCAGCCUCCUGAGUAGCUGGGACCUCAGGCACAAGCCCCCUGCCUGGCUAGGUAUAUGUUUUUUUAGGAUCUAUGCCCCUUAAUACUCAACUACCUUUGCCUAAGAGAGAAGACCGUCUCUCUCUAUAUAUAUAUGUGUAUAUAUAUAUAUAUAUAAUUUAUUUAUUAUAUAUUAUAAGCAUAAUAUAUAAUUAGCAUUUGCCCAUAUAUUUGCUAUAUGUUUAAUUAUCAUUUGCCCAUAACUAUAAUUCCUUUAACAUAAUAUUAUCGAAGUCUUCAGAGCACCCAUCCCUAUUUCCUGACCCUUUGAAGACUCUUAAUUUUGGAGUCUUUGAUCCCAGACAGGGAAAUGGAAAUUCGGGGCAGAACCUGGAGCACACACAAGGAUAGCAGAUGAAGAGUCUUCACAUUAGCUCGAUGAAGGUUGUGGGAAACUGGGGACAGAGCUCGACAAAGCACACGUAACAACAAGUGCAUAGGGAGACCUGGUCUUUGUAGAGUGACUAUGAGGGUGGGCUGGUGCAUUCCCAUCUAGGUGCCUGUGCAGUUGCCUGCUUCUAUCAGGCCUGGUAUAGAAAGCAGAGUGCUCCAGCCUAGGGCUGACAAGCACCAGCUCCAGUUAAGCUGAGGAAAAUGUCCUGUUUCAAUCAAUUACAUGAAUCCCAUAUAUUACUUGGGUACAUCUUUAUGGUUGCUUUUCCCUGCUGGGAAAAUGGUUUCCAAUGAGUAAAAUUUCAUAAAUUAUAUUAUAGUUAUACUUCCAACAAGCUAAUUAAUUGUGUUUUAUUACUAUUACUUCUGCCUUGAUGAUAGUCCAUUAAAGGUCAUUAAUAAAUGCAGCUGUGUUGAGA